rnacentral:lncRNA from 1 species
AUUCCCUGCUCCCUACCUGCUCUGUGUCCACUGUAUGUACAAGUAGAGGAAUGUUAUUAUCCCUGCUCCCUACCUGCUCUGUGUCCACUGUAUGUACAAGUAGAGGAAUGUUAUUAUCCCCGCUCCCUACCUGCUCUGUGUCCACUGUAUGUACAAGUAGAGGAAUGUUAUUAUCCCUGCUCCCUACCUGCUCUGUGCCCACUGUAUGUACAGUAGAGGAAUGUUAUUAUCCCUGCUCCCUACCUGCUCUGUGUCCACUGUAUGUACAAGUAGAGGAAUGUUAUUAUCCCUGCUCCCUACCUGCUCUGUGUCCCCUGAUGUACAA